UACGUAGGGGGCGAGCGUUGUCCGGAUUUAUUGGGCGUAAAGAGCUCGUAGGCGGUUUGGUAAGUCGGGUGUGAAAUCUCCACGCUCAACGUGGAGGGGCCACUCGAUACUGCCAUGACUCGAGUCCGGUAGAGGAGUGUGGAAUUCCCGGUGUAGCGGUGAAAUGCGCAGAUAGUCGGGAGGAACACCCGUAGCGAAGGCGGCACUCUGGGCCGGAACUGACGCUGAGGAGCGAAAGCAUGGGGAGCGAACAGG
rnacentral:rRNA from 1 species